UACAGAGGAGCCAAGCGUUGUCCGGAUUGACUGGGCGUAAAGCGCACGCAGGCGGAUGCGCGAGUGGGGUGUGAAAUCUGGCCGCUUAACGGCCAGGCGCCAUCCCAUACGGCGCGUCUGGAGUGAUGCAGAGGUCGGUGGAAUUGCCGGUGUAGUGGUGAAAUGCGUAGAGAUCGGCAGGAAGGCCAGUGGCGAAGGCGAGUCUCUAGACAGUAACUGACGCUGAGGCACGAAGGCCAGGGGAGCAAACGGG
rnacentral:rRNA from 1 species